rnacentral:precursor_RNA from 1 species
CUUUAUUCAAAUUUUGAGGAUACUGAAGAUGAGGAGAGGUGAGUUUUACGACGUGUUUUAUUCGACAAUAGUGAUUGAA